UACGGGGGGAGCAAGCGUUGUUCGGAUUUACUGGGCGUAAAGGGCGGGUAGGCGGCCACCGCAAGUCAGUUGUGAAAUCUCUGGGCUUAACCCAGAAAGGUCAACUGAUACUGCGGGGCUAGAGUGCAGAAGGGGCAACUGGAAUUCUCGGUGUAGCGGUGAAAUGCGUAGAUAUCGAGAGGAACACCUGCGGCGAAGGCGGCUCUCUGGGACGGUACUGACGCUGAGACGCGAAAGCGUGGGGAGCGAACAGG
rnacentral:rRNA from 1 species